GAAAAGAGGCAGAGAGCGGUCCAAAGCCAAAAAGAGCAUAGGGAAGAAAAAGAAGGAAAAAAAAAAUAUGAGUAAGGUUCCUUUUUGUUUUUAAGUAGAAAAAUCUUGAUCUACGAAGAUCCAGCGGUCGGAUCUUCAAUCCGUCUUCGGAAACGUGAUCCUUGUACUCGGAUCUACGUUUUUACCGAUUGUUUAAGGUACUUGAGCUUAUUGGAGCUUACUUGAGGCUAUCCAAACUUUGGGUUGAAGUUUGGUGAAUUUGGGUACACCUGACUUAGAGGAGGACCCCGUAGCUGCGUAUUUGGGAUACUACGAUUGAAGCAUUUUGCGAUAGUCGUAUUGAGUUGGACUAUGGAGUUCACUCUUUUGGGGUAUUUUGAAUAUGGCUAAUGACAUAGGUAUCACAUAUUCUUUUAUGUAGCCAUUCUUUUGUAUUAAUGGGUAAUUGUAAGCCUUAAGCAAUUAGACAGAUAUAUGGCUCUUUUGUAUGCACCACCUGUUAUUUUUAGAUGUGCUUUCUGUUAUGAUUUUUAGUAUUAUAAUUAUU